rnacentral:rRNA from 1 species
UACGAGGGGGGGCGAGCGUUUGUUCGGAAUUAUUGGGCGUAAAGGGUGCGUAGGCGGUUUGGUAAGUCUGAUGUGAAAUCUAUGGGCUCAACUCAUAGUCUGCAUCGGAAACUGCCGGGCUUGAGUGUGGGAGAGGUGAGUGGAAUUCCUGGUGUAGCGGUGAAAUGCGUAGAUAUCAGGAGGAACACCUGUGGCGAAAAGCGGCUCACUGGACCAUAACUGACGCUGAUGCACGAAAAGCUAGGGGGAGCAAAACAGG